rnacentral:rRNA from 1 species
UACGGAGGGGGCUAGCGUUGUUCGGAAUUACUGGGCGUAAAGCGCGCGUAGGCGGACCUGCAAGUCGGGGGUGAAAGCCCGAGGCUCAACCUCGGAACUGCCUUCGAUACUGCGGGUCUCGAGUCCGGGAGAGGUGAGUGGAAUUCCGGGUGUAGCGGUGAAAUGCGCAGAUAUCAGGAGGAACACCGGUGGCGAAGGCGGAUCUCUGGGCCCUACCUGACGCUCAGGCGCGAAAGCUAGGGGAGCGAACUGG